rnacentral:rRNA from 1 species
CGUCAGGAUGAACGCUAGCUACAGGCUUAACACAUGCAAGUCGAGGGGCAGCAUGGAGUUGCUUGCAAACUCUGAUGGCGACCGGCGCACGGGUGAGUAACGCGUAUCCAACCUUCCCUAUAGUAGAGGAUAGCCCGGCGAAAGUCGGAUUAAUACUCUAUGUUUUCCGUUGCAGACAUCUAAGAUGGAACAAAGGCUUGCCGCUAUAGGAUGGGGAUGCGUCUGAUUAGGUAGUCGGCGGGGUAACGGCCCACCGAGCCAUCGAUCAGUAGGGUUCUGAGAGGAAGGUCCCCCACAUUGGAACUGAGACACGGUCCAAACUCCUACGGGAGGCAGCAGUGAGGAAUAUUGGUCAAUGGGCGAGAGCCUGAACCAGCCAAGUAGCGUGCAGGAUGACGGCCCUAUGGGUGGUAAACUGCUUUUAUGCGGGGAUAAAGUUCACUACGUGUAGUGUUUUGUAGGUACCGCAUGAAUAAGGACCGGCUAAUUCCGUGCCAGCCGCGGC